rnacentral:rRNA from 1 species
AGACCGCGUGGGGGAAGAAGGCUCUUGGGUUGUAAACCCCUUUUCUCUGGGAAGAAAGUUGUGAAAGCAACCUGACGGUACCAGAGGAAUCAGCAUCGGCUAACUACGUGCCAGCAGCCGCGGUAAUACGUAGGGUGCAAGCGUUAUCCGGAUUUAUUGGGCGUAAAGGGCUCGUAGGCGGUUCGUCGCGUCUGGUGUGAAAGUCCAUCGCUUAACGGUGGAUCUGCGCCGGGUACGGGCGGGCUGGAGUGCGGCAGGGGAGACUGGAAUUCCCGGUGUAACGGUGGAAUGUGUAGAUAUCGGGAAGAACACCAAUGGCGAAGGCAGGUCUCUGGGCCGUUACUGACGCUGAGGAGCGAAAGCGUGGGGAGCGAACAGGAUUAGAUACCCUGGUAGUCCACGCCGUAAACGGUGGAUG